rnacentral:rRNA from 1 species
UGUCGUCAGCUCGUGUUGUGAAAUGUUGGGUUAAGUCCCGCAACGAGCGCAACCCUUAUCCUUUGUUGCCAGCGGUCCGGCCGGGAACUCAAAGGAGACUGCCAGUGAUAAACUGGAGGAAGGUGGGGAUGACGUCAAGUCAUCAUGGCCCUUACGACCAGGGCUACACACGUGCUACAAUGGCGCAUACAAAGAGAAGCGACCUCGCGAGAGCAAGCGGACCUCAUAAAGUGCGUCGUAGUCCGGAUUGGAGUCUGCAACUCGACUCCAUGAAGUCGGAAUCGCUAGUAAUCGUGGAUCAGAAUGCCACGGUGAAUACGUUCCCGGGCCUUGUACACACCGCCCGUCACACCAUGGGAGUGGGUUGCAAAAGAAGUAGGUAGCUUAACCUUCGGGAGGGCGCUUACCACUUUGUGAUUCAUGACUGGGGUGAAGUCGUAACAAGGUAACCGUAGGGGAACCUGCGGUUGGAUCACCUCCUUACAUUAAAGAAGC